rnacentral:rRNA from 1 species
UACGUAGGGUGCAAGCGUUGUCCGGAAUUAUUGGGCGUAAAGAGCUCGUAGGCGGUUUGUCGCGUCUGCUGUGAAAACUCGGGGCUCAACUCCGAGUUUGCAGUGGGUACGGGCAGACUAGAGUGCGGUAGGGGCACGUGGAACUUCUGGUGGAGCGGUGAAAUGCGUUGAUAUCAGAAGGAACGCCGGUGGCGAAAGCGACGUGCUGGCCCUCUUCUGACGCUGAGGCGCGAAAGCCAGGGGAGCGAACGGG